UACGUAGGGGGCAAGCGUUGUCCGGAAUUAUUGGGCGUAAAGGGUGCGUAGGCGGCCCAUCAAGUUGGAUGUGAAAUCCCCGUGCUUAACAUGGGAAUUGCAUUCAAAACUGAAGGGCUUGAGUGUGGAAGAGGUAAGUGGAAUUCCCAGUGUAGCGGUGAAAUGCGUAGAUAUUGGGAGGAACACCAGUGGCGAAGGCGACUUACUGGGCCACAACUGACGCUGAGGCACGAAAGCGUGGGGAGCAAACAGGAUUAGAUACCCUGGUAGUCCACGCUGUAAACGAUGAUUACUAGGUGUAGGGGGUAACACCCCCCCUGUGCCGCAGCUAACGCAAUAAGUAAUCCGCCUGGGGAGUACGGUCGCAAGAUUG
rnacentral:rRNA from 1 species